AUGAGGGAAGAGCUGCAACCUCCUUUGCCAGAAUGAAACCUGGCAGAAUCCCACUCUCUGGAAACCAGCAGUAGCUGUCUUCAGGUGACAAUGACUUCCAGUUUUGCCAGAACUCCUUUCUUACCCUGGCCUGGUAUUUCCACCCCUAAGAAACAUGCAGGACAGUGAGAUCCCAGGUUUUAAUACACUUGAAUCUGAGGUGGCUGGAAAACUAUCUUCUACUCUUAAUUAUGUUCAAAGUACCUGGCAGGAAAGAGGCUGAUGAAAGAAUUUUUAUGAGCACUGGGAGACCUGAACUAUCCACAGUCUCUGUAGGAAGGGUCUACAAAGAAGAACAAGGUGUUUAUCUGAUGAGAAUGGCUGGGAGAUUACAUCAUUGGACAUACACUGCACCCACACAGUAACACCUGCUACACCCAAAGUGGUCCCUGUUUAGCAUCUGCUUUUCUGAUGUGGAUGCAUUGUUCUGGGUAAGCUAACUUGAAAUGAUUUAGGGAAGCAUCACAAGCAUUGCUGAACAGAGAUAGCACCACACACGGAUAUAAAGGCAUUGUUGAGACAAGCUCUACGUGGGAUGUUCUGCCAAAUGGUUCCCUUCCCUUCCUCUUCUCAUUUCCUUGUUCUCCUUCAGUCAAUGGAGAAUGCUAAUCCCUUUAUUUGUUUAUGUGUAUACUGGUGACUUUCCAGACCUGCUACAAAAGUCAUUUGACUAGAAGACUUUUCUGGAAAGAGGCAGCAAGGGAAGCUGGAAAUUUCUUUCCUGAAUGAUGACUUGGUGGCAGUUGGAUUGGUCCCCUUGGACCUGAGGAUUUUGACAUUGCUGUGUUUGGAUUGACUAUGGACAGCCCUGCACUGACAGCUGUAAGCAAGAAGGAAAAUAU